UUUUUUAGUUCUCUUUUUGUGAUAGAAAGAAAAGCAUAUGGGUUUGGAACAACAUGAGUGGGUGUAAAUAAUUUAUUUUCAGGUGAACUAUUCUUUUAACGUCUCUGUCAUCGCUCAUAGUCAUAGUACUGCAACAUGAUUAUCUCAGCUUGCAUUGUGAAUCCUGAGAUUCCCAGCUGUGUCUUAAGCCGCCCAGUUGGCGUGUCAGAGCUGAUAUCUGGUGUAGACACUCAAAGAAACACUCCUCGGGAUUCUUCUUUUUGUUGCGAACCUUUUGUUCGUAAGGUCUUGUUUUAUUCUAUAUAUUGUGAGUCAGCAUGGACAGCCCAGUCAUUCUUGCGAAGCUUUAAUAGAUGUGAGUGAUUCAAAACGAUCAAAACUAAAGAGAACGUGUGUUGUUUAUUUAAUCUCAUUUGUAUCUUAUUGGAGAAUUGCCAUCAUCGAAUUUGCCAGCUUUUGCCAAGUUUAUUUAGUAUGCCUAGAUAAACCUGUUUGUUUGUUUUUCUCCAGAACUCCAUGAGGCGACACACAUGUGAAAUAUUUUCACAUGAAGCCUCAAAAAGCAGAUUAUUUUGGACCCUGGCUGUCAGUUUCACAGGAUAUAUACUUCUCAAAAAUAUGUUUAAAUCCCUGGAAACCAUAUUGUAAAAGAAAGAUUUGACAGGAAUUUGCAGGAUGCUACGUAUCACCUGAUCUGAGUAGGAGAUGCUUUGCAUCAGGGCCUGAAAUCUAAAACCAGGUCAAGGUAAUUUGGAUUUAAAUUGGCCUUAAAUUAGCCUGUGUUCCUGGGAAACAGGGAGAUGUGAUUCUGUGUUCAUUACCCGUCCUUUAAAAGGAGUUAAGGGCUCAUCCCUUAUGAAAACUUAACAUUUCAACCCCAUUUUCUAACACUAGAGCUGUGCAAUAUUGUGAUGGCGAUUAAGCAGUAAACAGGGAUCCGGCUUUACUGACGAAAUGCACGUGACAAUCACAUGCGAUAUUUCGCAUUUUUUUUUUUUUCUUGAAUGUGCGCUGGUUUCAGCGUGAAACCAUUGUUUUGCACUCUAUUUAGUGAUAUUUUCCAGUACAAUAGUAUUAUUACCUAAAUCGUAGUCCAAAGAGGAUGGUUUGCACUCAAGCCAUUUUUGGUCACACCAUUUUUAGUUUAGGGACCGGUUCUCACUGUUAACUACAACUUUUGCCUCAAACUUCAAAUUUGCUGCUUACUAAUAGUAAGAUAGCUUAGUUGUUAAGUCUGGGUGAGGUAUUGGGUAGAAUUAAGCGAUCUAAUAUGAUCAUGCAGAAUAAAGAAUUAAUGUGUUUUAUAAGUACUAAUAGAUAGCUUAUAUGCUAGUAAUAUGCAUGAUAAUAAGCAACUAGUUAAUUGGUGAGAAUUCCUAAUCCUAAUAAUAAUCAACCUAAUCUUUUUUAAAUUUUUUUUUUUUUUUAAAUAUAGAGCCUUGUUCAAUUCUUGUUCUGUCUUGCAAAACAUAGUAGACAUUAUUUGACUAUAUUUUCAGAUUUCUCUUUAUUUCCAUUUCCAUUGCCAUUUGGGUUAAAUCAUAAUGUCAGUUUGGCUGGUGACGGUCAUAGUAACAUUACAUAAAAGGGUGAUGGAGUCAUGUUUUCUCUGUGUCAGUGUGUAAGCUCCAGCCUAAAGGAAAUUAGUCCUGACAUAAAUUAGGUGUGUGGGCCCUUAUUUCCUCUUGGUUGGUGCAAGAGCACGCUUUGCCAUGAGCCAAAAACUGGCGUCAGCGCAUAUGUUUUGGCUUUGACGGAACCAUAACUAAGGAAUUAUGGUUAUUACGAGACACUGUAAAAGCUGAAGACAGGUCAGUGGUUUUGUGUUAAAGGUAUGAAAUAAUUUAUGGAUAUAAUUUAACACAGUGGGUGGUUUAUUGAAUUGUAAUGCCAUUCAUUUUGGUGUUUUCUGGUUCAGUAAGUGCAAAGUGUUAUGAUGCCAUUUUGUUUUAAAUAAUUCAUGUUAAUUGUUUUUAAAUUGGUUUUUAAUGGUGUCCAUCCCAUCACCAGGUUUCUCAUGCAUAUGUAAUGGACAUGUAUUUUGCAUGUCAAUCAAUUAUUCAUUGUUUACGGGAAGUGGGAGGAGGUUGUCAAGAUGGAUCAGCAUAGUACAGGUUUUAAUCAAAGGUUAACAAUUUAGAUUUUUGUUGCAUUGAAAUAUUAUGCUAAGCAGAAAAUAAAAUGAUACUUGGCCACCACUGUGGAGCUGUGUCAUCAAAGUCUGUGUACUGAUUGAUUGACAUGCUAGUAUUAGAAACCAGAACGCCAACCGUUCAUGUUUUACAGUUUGUAAUUAGCAGGUUUGGCCCUGUCAAGCAGGCGGUGUUGAGAUAUUUUCAGUUGUAUGUUUGAAAGGAACCCAUAAUCAAGGGCAGGAAGUCUGUUGAAGAUGUAGAGCUACAGCGUUGUGUCAUCUGUUGUCUCUGAACACAUUGACUUGUCUUCCAUGCCAUUUGGGUUUCACAGUGGGGUCAAAAUAAAAAAAAACUAUGAAGUCCAGCCUUGGUUUUGUAAUUUUAGUUUCUAAAUUAUUUCCAGUUGUGCUGGUAAUGUUAAUUCCUGCAUCUUACGAAAGUGGUGCACAAGUGGCCGCUAAUAAAACAGUGAAAUGUGACAGUGUAUAUAUAAACCAAAAAUAUAAAUACCACAGGAACACAUUCUGUGUGAAUGGUUGCAAGUUUCUUUCUUUGAUUCCAAAAUGGUUUGACUGUAGGACUUGCAGAAUAAUAAAAUGUUUUGAAUGAUCGUUAUUUAUAGGCAAAUAUUUUUCUGUGGUUAAUUUGAUUGAUUUAUAUGCACAUUUAUUGUAAUUAAUUCCAAUGUGCUGCCACCAAACUCUGGAAUGUCCUCCAUCAGUUUAGAUGACUAUAUGGUGGAGCAGGUGAACAAUUUCAGACAAGCGUCACUGCAGGUUCAAACUGGUUUACUUGAGGAUUGCUGAUGCGCAAGAAUUCCUUAGGAAUGUUUUAGACUAGAGCCUGAAGCCCACCUUGUAGUCAACGAACACACUGAUUGCUGUCUUAACAUUUCAUGCGCUUGAUUGCCAGCGUUCUCCAAUCAGCAACAAGUGUGUGCUGUUCUGUGAUUGGCUUUCUAAUUGGUUGAUAAGAGCAUAUUUUUAGAAUCUUGAUGAUGCUAAGUUGUGAAUGAUGAUGAGACAUUUAUAGGACAGAAUUACUAAGUGAUUGUCACUCAAUGCAUUUUAGUUCGGCAUCAUCUUCCAGGAAGCUGUAAAAGGAAUUCCUUGUAAACCCAGUGGCUUUCCAUACUAAUUCUCUGGCUCUCAUGAUUUUAGUGAAUGCUGGGACUUUCUGUAGAUAUGAUUUGGAAAAGUUCUAGGCCAUAUUUGUGAAAUCACCCCCAUGCCAUCAUUCACUAUUCACGACACAGGGAAGGAGUGAAUGAAAACAAGUGAGCAAAUUCGGACUGAAUGAGUCGGAAGUUCUGCGGAAUAGCUGUCCCUUCAGAACUAUAUAAGGAUAUAAUGGUUGAUUUUUGGACCCAAGUGUUUUACUCUAUAGAAUUCCAGGGAAGUUCUCAGAAAAAGCAGAGGAACUUCUCAACUCAGCCGUCAGUCGUGAGGCAUGUCCUCUGCUCUGGGUCCAAAUGGAAUGACAUCAGCGUAGGUUUUCCUUUGCAUGCCUGUCUCUCUUUUUUUUUCCUUUCUCUCACAAGGGUGUGAGGGCAGGGCUCUCUUGCUCUGGCUGGAGAGAGGUCUGCAGGAUAGUGAUGAAUAGCAUGCAUGAAUUCUUAACUGCUUGUAGCUCAAGUCAGUGGUCCUGCUAUGUGUUUGAAAGUGGCCAACGUGGAAUGCCUCUGGCAAUAACUGUUAAGCACAGUAAAAAGCUGCUGCUAAUAUGUUUUUGAGGUUAACUUAACUUUAAACCAGCCUAAUUAAACAGACAACCCAUUAGUCAAGUGAGUAGGUUUGUGUUAAAAUGAGAGCUUCCGAGAAAAAGAAUGUUCUACCUGAAAUUUACUCCUCUAAUGUGUUUAUGGAACAGCUCAAACAAACUUUUUGGGGAAGUGAGGAACCAGUUCCAAAGAGCCGAAUCGGAGCAGCUUAUUUACAAGAAUGAGAUUAACUGUUUGCAGAGGACUGUAAUGAUGUGCCACACAUCUCCUCAAACAGUGAGAAACCGACAGCUUUAGAUGUGCUGCUUACGCCCCAUUCAAGACCGAAAUAACAUCCUUAUAUAGAUCACAUUGAAGCCGCAUAAAAGCUCACAGAAUUCUCAUUUAAUUCUCACUUCAGUGCUUUAGUGCUAGAUUUAACCCUUCUGAUAAUAUAGAUAUCAUUUGCUUUACUGCAGCAAUGUAAUCGCUGUAAGAUAUGGUGUAAAAUUAGAGGUUCAAUAUAGGAAUCAAAGCAAAUAUUUUCUCUUUAGUAUGAAUAGUAGUAAUAAUAGGAAUGUUGCUCAAAGCAGAUGACAGUUGUUGUCUGACAAUUUGUUAACAGUGAUGCUUCAUCCCUCUACUUUGGCAAUUGAAUUGCCAUUGGCGAACUGGCGAACUGAUUCACUGUUAUCAAAACAGGGACGAUAAUAGGUGAGCGCCAUCCAAUGAGAUUGCCGUUUGCGCAUUAGUUCCUCCCACUACCGGAAAACCCGGCAGUUCUUAAAAGCUGAAAAAAUCCAAAGGAACUCUGUUAUUUUGACAGGAAAAUACAACAAAGAAUAUUGUUUACAUGUAGCGCGUCAAUUCUGCAUGUAAGACUUUCUCGCAAUCUCUCUCUGCUCUUGCCAAAUAGAUGGCGAGGUCGUUCGCAGUUACACUAGAGUUCAUGGUAAGUCAAAUACAGGUGUGCUGCUCAUCCAUUGAGAUGAAAUGAAAAAUAGCACAGAUCACUUGACGGAGAGUGAAACUCUGAAGCGCUCAGUCAGAGUGUUGGGCUAGUGAAAAUAUAUCAGUGCUAAACUUAUUCUUAGCCUCCAACUCACACUGGCGAGCAAAAUCUGAGAAUUUAUUAGCCAUUGGCUAAUAAUAUUAGACAUCAUUUAGUCGUCCAGAGUAAAGAUUUAGUCACAAAUGCGAGUGAUUUACUCCAAUGUAGAGGGUUGUGCUAUAAUGGCUGAAGGGGAUGAAUUUAGAGAUUACUUCUCAGAGGAUAGUUUUUGCAUGCUUCUGACAGUCAAUUAUUUUUUUUCCUUUGACUACAAGCACAGUGUUAGCAUGCUAGAGCCUUUUUCUGAGAAGUUGCAUUCACUGAAUCCACUCGUUCCCUUGAUGGUUAGUUGAUCAUUCUGGCACAUUCCCAAUUCAAGACUGUAAGCAUGUUGUUGUGACUGUUUUAGGUUUAAUUUGCAUUACACUGCCAAAAACAAAGAGUCAGAAGCUGCAUUGACCAACACAAACAGUGAUCCUGUUAACCAUGCUGUUGCACCUUCUCAAACCCUGUUAGAUGAUAGAUCCUCUCUGUAGUCACCCUUACUUCAUGCUUAUCAUUAUGAAUCAGGGUCACACUUGUGAAGGAAGGGAUGCAAUGGUUGAGUCUUAACGGAGUAACGUCAGCAGCGGUCAGCGUCUUAUAAAUUUACAAAUGACUGUCAGCAUGUGUGGGCGUGGAACGUCAUGCGGGCUGACGUGAUCGUGAAUUGCACUCUUGUCCAGCUGGAGCCAAUCAAAUGUUUAGAGCUUGUAGUUUGCAGUCACCAGAUGUCGGAAUGCUUGUUUGGGUUUUUCACAGAUUGGAGAUGAGAAAUACAAGUGGAUGAGGGAAAACAUGUACACAAAUUUAUACAGUUCAGCAGCAGGCACUUGGGGCGAAGGCCAGCUGCUGCUGACCUUCUCUCUAGCUUUUGUUUCUCGUUUGUGUGCGUUUGUUAGGUGUGUUCUUUUGUCAUUUGUUUGAGUGUGGACUUAUCAGACAGUAACGGUUGGGGGGUGGGGGUGGUGGUGGUCAGUAGAGAGAGUGGAAAAGGGUGUUAAAAAAAAACCUUUGUCAGAGUGCAGCAGGAAGUGAGUGUUUAUUUUUUCAUUUCCUCACCAAGGCGUAAGUGAUCUUCAUCCACCCCUAGAGCUGGCUGUUAAUUAUCACUCUUUGCGUGUGUCUGUACUCUUGUACCAGUCUUGCGUCAUCUCGGCGCCUACACACUUGAUUCAGUUGGUAAGAGUAUUUUGCUAGGAUGUGGAGUAAGGGUUUCCAUUCCUGCUCCUGGAAGGCCAUUUUUAAUGCCUAGUUUAGUUCCAAACUUUUAAAACACUUGCUUGAGUGUUUCUAGUAGUCUUGAAGACUUUGAGUCACAUGUGUGUUCACCAAGGGUUAGAGCUAAACCCUACAGCUGGGGUUCUCAACUCUGGCCCUCGAGGUCCACGUUCCUGUUUGAUUAGGGUUGGAGCUAAACUCUGCAGGAAAGGGGACGUUGAGGGCCAGAGUUGAGAACCCCUGCCCUACAGAAUUCCACACCCUUAACAUAGAGGAAAAUGGAAGAGUUUCCAACGGUGACUUUUUGUUUGGCAAGCAAAAGUUAAAGACAUUUUUACUUGGGCUGCAAAGAACUCUCACGUAGGCAUCCAUUGACCAAUGAGAUUCCCAGAUAGGAAGGUCCAGUUUUCCUUAUGGAAAUCCAAUUCAGACUUGGUUUUUAGCUGACCUAGAUCUUUUAACACCCUCUUCAAAAUGUACCCUACACAUUCCCAUCCUCAUGUCAAAUGCUUAAUAACGCAUGCAAAAUACACUCAUCUACUAUCCCAGAACUUCUGCAUCCUUUCCAAUGUUUACAUAAGAUACAUUAAAAUGACCUUUCUCUUGCUUGCUUUCUCUCUUUCAUAGCCUCCUUCCUCCCAGUGAUCUAUGUCCUGUUGUCAUCAGCAGUAGCUCCGCCUGUGGAGGAAGCCACACAGUCAGCUGGCCCUCAGCAUCUCCUAACCCUCGUCUUUCAGGGAUGUGUAAUUAAGAAGCUCCCUGGAGCAUGACAGAUCAUAGGUGCUGACACUGCUGCAAGCCCUCAAACCUGACCGGACCCUUAACCGUGCACAUCCAAACAAAUGGCAUAUGUAUGUCAAGGCCACCCUGGAGCUACUAUUGCUGAUCUGUGUUUCCUAUGAUAAUAGAUAUAGAUUAAUGCUCCAGCGCAUUUAUAGGCAAAAGUUAACAGCUUAAUUCCAUAAGAAAUAAGUGCAGAAACUACCUUUAGUUUAUUGCUGAGGAAAUACCCUUGUGCUACUUUUCCUUAAACUUGCGUUUACUUUUAUGGGUUACCAAUGGUGUACCUUUGAUGGUGCUGCCAAAGUGACAAGCUGUUGUACUCCUAAUGUACGUUUCUUGCACAUACGGAUGUAGGGAGUUGUUUUUUUUUGAGUUCAUCAUGUGAUCUACCACCUGAUAGAGUUGGGUUUAGAGUUUAUGUAGGAAUCACUGCUCACAGACAGACAUGUGGUGACUUGGUGACAUUGACCAAUUGAGGGCACCUGCCAAUUUCCCCACCUUCAAAACUAGAGUCUGGAAUUGAGAACCAACUUGUUUUUAGUUCUGGUUUCCUUAAAAGGGAUUGGAACUUCAGCAUGGGAAAGAAAUACGAGGACACUGUUCUGAAGCGCUGUCCCGUCAAUACCCAUAUGUAUUGUACCCUUUACUCUGCGUCAAAGGCUUUGUUUGAACAUUCUGUAGUGUGGAAGCACUCUUAACUGCUGUCUCUGUGUACGGCCCUUGACACUUCUAGAGAAAUGGCAUUGUUGCAGAUAGUCUGCUUUAUUUAUUUUUUUGCCGUAGUCUAAAUGCCAGGACGGGGGCAUCAAGAGGCUACAGCAUUAUACAAGUGUACCGUUUACGCUGACAGUUUAGACAUAAUACAAGCCAGCAACCCCCUCUAUGGCCACA